rnacentral:rRNA from 1 species
UACGUAGGGUGCAAGCGUUGUCCGGAAUUAUUGGGCGUAAAGAGCUCGUAGGCGGCUGUUCAAGUCGAACGUGAAAACUCGGAGCUCAACUCCGAGCCUGCGUUCGAUACUGGAUGGCUAGAGUCUGGUAGGGGGAUCUGGAAUUCCUGGUGUAGCGGUGGAAUGCGCAGAUAUCAGGAGGAACACCGGUGGCGAAGGCGGGAUCCUGGACCGGCAUUGACGCUGAGGAGCGAAAGCCAGGGGAGCAAACGGG